rnacentral:rRNA from 1 species
GUAGGAGGCAAGCGUUAUCCGGAUUUACUGGGUGUAAAGGGCGUGUAGGCGGGACUGCACGUCAGAUGUGAAAAUUAUGGGCUCAACCCAUAACCUGCAUUUGAAACUGUAGUUCUUGAGUGAUGGAGAGGCAGGCGGAAUUCCGUGUGUAGCGGUGAAAUGCGUAGAUAUACGGAGGAACACCAGUGGCGAAGGCGGCCUGCUGGACAUUAACUGACGCUGAGGCGCGAAAGCGUGGGGAGC